rnacentral:rRNA from 1 species
GACGGAGGGUGCUAGCGUUGUUCGGAAUGACUGGGCGUAAAGGGCGCGUAGGCGGCUCGUGAAGUCGGGUGUGAAAGCCCGGGGCUCAACCCCGGAACGGCAUCCGAUAUUGGCGGGCUUGAGACCGGGAGAGGAGGGUGGAAUACCCAGUGUAGAGGUGAAAUUCGUAGAUAUUGGGUGGAACACCGGUGGCGAAAGCGGCUCUCUGGCCCGGAUCUGACGCUGAGGCGCGAAAGCGUGGGGAGCAAACAGG